AUUAAGCAUCAAGAUAAUCCAUUGGGUUAGCCAACCGAUCAACUCACGACACGGUGGCUUAGUAUGCGGAACAGUCGUUCAAAUGUGUUGAGAAAUC
ncrna:Flavobacteria bacterium BAL38 SAM-I/IV variant riboswitch